rnacentral:rRNA from 1 species
AUUGAACGCUGGCGGCAUGCUUUACACAUGCAAGUCGAACGGCAGCGCGGGCUUCGGCCUGGCGGCGAGUGGCGAACGGGUGAGUAAUGCAUCGGAACGUGCCCAGUAGUGGGGGAUAGCCCGGCGAAAGCCGGAUUAAUACCGCAUACGACCUGAGGGUGAAAGCGGGGGACCGAAAGGCCUCGCGCUAUUGGAGCGGCCGAUGUCGGAUUAGCUAGUUGGUGGGGUAAAGGCUUACCAAGGCGACGAUCCGUAGCUGGUCUGAGAGGACGACCAGCCACACUGGGACUGAGACACGGCCCAGACUCCUACGGGAGGCAGCAGUGGGGAAUUUUGGACAAUGGGGGCAACCCUGAUCCAGCCAUGCCGCGUGCGGGAAGAAGGCCUUCGGGUUGUAAACCGCUUUUGUUCGGGAAGAAAUCCACUGGGCUAAUACCCCGGGGGGAUGACGGUACCGGAAGAAUAAGCACCGGCUAACUACGUG